rnacentral:rRNA from 1 species
GACGAACGCUGGCGGCGUGCUUAACACAUGCAAGUCGAGCGGAAAGGCCUCUUCGGGGGUACUCGAGCGGCGAACGGGUGAGUAACACGUGAGUAAUCUGCCCUUGGCUUUGGGAUAACUACCGGAAACGGUGGCUAAUACCGGAUACGACCAGCUCCUGCAUGGGGUGUUGGUGGAAAGUUUUUUCGGCCAGGGAUGUGCUCGCGGCCUAUCAGCUUGUUGGUGGGGUAAUGGCCUACCAAGGCUUCGACGGGUAGCCGGCCUGAGAGGGUGACCGGCCACACUGGGACUGAGACACGGCCCAGACUCCUACGGGAGGCAGCAGUGGGGAAUAUUGGACAAUGGGCGGAAGCCUGAUCCAGCAACGCCGCGUGAGGGAUGACGGCCUUCGGGUUGUAAACCUCUUUCAGUACCGACGAAGCGAAAGUGACGGUAGGUGCAGAAGAAGGACCGGCCAACUACGUGCCAGCCGCCGCAGUAAUAC